AAGACCUUGCRCUUUUGGAGCGGCCGAUGYCUGAUUAGCUAGUUGGURGGGUAAWGGCCUACCAAAGCUUCGAUCAGUAGCUGGUCUGAGAGGACGGCCAGCCACACUGGGACUGAGACACGGCCCAGACUCCUACGGGAGGCAGCAGUGGGGAAUUUUGGACAAUGGGCGCAAGCCUGAUCCAGCCAUGCCGCGUGAGUGAAGAAGGCCUUCGGGUUGUAAAGCUCUUUCAGCCGGGAAGAAAAGGUURCGACUAAUAAUCGCAAUUCAUGACGGUACCGAAAGAAGAAGCACCGGCUAACUACGUGCCAGCAGCCGCGGUAAUACGUAGGGUGCGAGCGUUAAUCGGAAUUACUGGGCGUAAAGGGUGCGCAGGCGGUUUUGUAAGUCAGAUGUGAAAUCCCCGGGCUUAACCUGGGAACU
rnacentral:rRNA from 1 species